rnacentral:lncRNA from 1 species
CCCCAGGUUCGGUGAAGUCUGGGAGACCUCCCUCUGUGUCACCUCGACUUUCAAUAACAGUGGCCGCUAGGUGAUGCCCGAAGACAACCGAUGCCUGCAAAUGUCAGUCAGCACGGAAAAGAAUAGAUGCUCAUUUCAACAACCAGACAGUGGAUGUGACAGGAGAAGUGUCAAGGCCAGGAGUUUGAGACCAGCGUGAGCAACCGAGCAAUACAACUACUUGGGAAGGCUGAGGCUGGAGAAU